CGCUACAUCACUGUGCCUACCUGCUGCUAUUGCUCUGCAGCAUCAUUUGCCUUGUCUUGCUGGUCCCAGCAAGGACCCACAAAGAUCCCACGCUACUCUGAGACAGAACCAGAUAUGAAGUGAAUUUGCAUGACCAUUUUCUAAUCCAAACAGGUAUCCUGACUGCAGCAAGCCAGAUGUGCAGCCAGAAGUGGCUGGCUGCCCUACUACAAAAUGAUCCUGUAUACCUGAACUAUCAAUAUGCCAAGGCCUUCUGAGUUUGCUUUCCUCUGCUCUACAUCUUUUAUUCCGAAGCUCAGAUGAUGUGUUAAACACUUCCUGUCUUCAAAAAAAAACCCCAACCUCUGAGCUAAAAUCCACAACGUUAUGAUCAUAUAGAGAUCCAAGUUACACUUCCAAAUCCAGUGAACCUGAGUCAAACCAAAACGUGCCUGAGGGUGCACAGUAAGUUCUGAACAAUGAGAACUAGGGCUGACACUGUUGCAAUCUCCACCUAGCCCACGCUGUUAAAUUGAAUGCAACUCAUUUGCCUAGAAAUAUGCCUGAGACAUAUCACUUGGGUGCAUCUCUGUGACUCUCUCUCUUCAUCCUUGUUCUGGAAAGACCAGCACGGUGAAAUCUUCAAGCAGGCUCUGCCCGGCUCUUCAUCACCAGGUUGUGUCCCCUGUUCUUGGAUGGUGGGUUUCACCAAAGCCUCUCUGGGGCCACCAUAAGAAAAACAGAUGCAGCGCGGAGCGGGAGCCGUUUCUCACGGAGCAGCUCCAGUCCCCGUACCCGCAGCCAGCAGGGGCUGGGCAGCACGGCCCCCUGCCCUCCCUGCUCCCCUGCCCCAGCCGCCCCGCACCGUUAAGUGACCGUCUCUGGCGCACUGAGCUGCUAAAUAAAAGUAUCCCGACCGCAGCCGUUAGCAAGCGUUACAGGGAUCUUAACAAAGCUGAGCCUCCGAAUGGAAUGUGCUGGCUUUUUUUUUUUCUUUUCUUUUUUUUUUUUUUCCAGGGGGUUUUGCGCUCUUCCAUGGGGAAAACGCGUCCGAAAUUCUGUUACAAUGCUGUUGGUUACGGUAACGUUAACUGAAAGCGAGCUGCGGUUUUUAACCUAGAGCACGUUGCAUAACAACAGCGGGGCUGCACGCGGACGGGGCACCGCAGCCCGCGGGCGCACAGACGGACCGCGGCUCC
rnacentral:lncRNA from 1 species